UUUCACCUCACACAACCAAUGGUUUUUAAAAGCUGUAAUGGCGCCAAGUGGUUAAUGUGGUAUUGAGUGUUUUCCCACUUGGUAAACGAGAGGGUCACUUGAAAUGCUUGGUAGCUUUAUGAGUCCGAUAAUGCUUCGCAUAUUUCGAAAAGCUCAAAGUACCGCUAAGUUUAAGCCUUUAUUGGUCACUCUUUAGCUGGGAAAUUUUUGAAAUGAAGUACUUGUCAAUGACUUUAUACCAAACCUGAUAUUGAAUAGCAGUCGUAGUUACUGUAACUAUUCAAAAUCUUUGAAC
rnacentral:misc_RNA from 1 species